UCACAUCUACAUCUAGUACUGAAACUAGACCAAUAAUUGCCUCAGUCCCAGGAAAUGAGAUUGAAGAGGAAGUUACAGCUCAAGAUAACGCUGAAGAAAGUAUUGAUGAAGAAGUAACAUGCCUAGGGCUAGGGCAUCAACAAGAAAAUUGUGCCAAACCUCCAACAAGUCCUACGUCAAGCAGUGAACUGAUCGGCGUAAAUGAUCAAGUGGAAUGUAGCCGGACGAAUAAAAUUAAUGAAACUU